CCCGAAUUUGACAAGAGAAGUUGGUAGACUUGGGACCAUAAACUGGAAAACAAGAUAUGAAAGUAUGCUCCAAUCAAUCUUUACUGUUCAUAGAGGACAACCAUUUGGGAAAUUCACAGACCAUUGAACCUUGUCUCUGAAUUCCCAGUUCAGCACCUCUACUUUUAGAGAGGAGAAACACAACUCUGAAGAGGACACUUUGAAAGUGUAACAAAAUGACAUCCAGAGCUUAUCCAGAUGAGCAGAGAGCAACUGAAUUGCCUUCUGCUCCUUUGUUGAAGAAGAGAGAAAAUUCUUCAACCAAUUCAAUGAACUUACAUAUCUUCUUAAGAAAUUACAAUUUUUGAGCAACACAGAUGGAUGGGAAGGCUAGAAAUGGCACGAGCAGGCCAUCCCUUUCUGAGCAGCUGCUACCAAGUCAGGCAGAAGUUCACCGGAGAUUCCUGAUGAAAGCACAAGACAAGCCGGACCCAUGGAUCCAUGAAACAGUCUCCCCUUGAUAUGAAUCAAAGGUAGACACUUCCCCUUCCCUUUCUUCCAAGUGACUUAUAUGCAACAAAUGAACUCACUUUUCUUAUGUUUAUUUAGUUCAGGUCCUCAUGUUUCCUCCUGGCAAACACGCCUAUCAAGUUCAUGUGACCCAGCUAAAUGGCUAUGGUCAUUUUUUUCUGGCUAAAUAAGCAGGUGGACCACACACCAGGGUCAGUGAUGUUUGAAACCAAACCACCCACUACUAGUGCGAAAAGGAGCACGUGUGCAGGGUAUGGUGAUUUCCUUUCAAGGUGUUUGCAUGGAGGCAGGAGCUUUCUCUUUGACUGUGGGAGACGGUUCCCUGUUUGGUCCUCAAUCCACAUGCUCCUCAAUCUUUCCAUUUCUUCUCUUUCUUUCAGCCUUGUUAUUGGCUUUGUAAUACUUGAAGUUAUUCCAACCAUAGAGGUUUCUCUUUUUGCGGCACUGCCUGUGGAUAAGCAAUGUGGAUUAUUCCCUUAUUUCUGCUGCUCGGGAAAUAUACAAAUUCUCUUGAUUCUUUCAGAAUGUUUGAUUAUUUCAAGUUUCUCUUCAAUAUGGAAACUUUCCUUUUGCAUGCACUAUUUGACAUUAUGAAUCAAGAGGCUUAGACAUGCUUGGUAUGCUAAAGGAGUGGGUUUUUUUUUUGUUUUUUUGUUUUAAUUUUUUUUAACGUUUAUUCAUUUUUGAGAGAUAGAGACAGAGUGCGAGUGCGGG